rnacentral:rRNA from 1 species
AUUGAACGCUGGCGGCAGGCCUAACACAUGCAAGUCGGACGGUAGCACAGAGGAGCUUGCUCCUCGGGUGACGAGUGGCGGACGGGUAAGUAAUGUCUGGGGAUCUGCCCGAUAGAGGGGGAUAACCACUGGAAACGGUGGCUAAUACCGCAUAACGUCGCAAGACCAAAGAGGGGGACCUUCGGGCCUCUCACUAUCGGAUGAACCCAGAUGGGAUUAGCUAGUAGGCGGGGUAACGGCCCACCUAGGCGACGAUCCCUAGCUGGUCUGAGGGCAUGACAAGCCACCCUGGAACUGAGACACGGUCCAGACUCCUCCGGGAGGCAGCAGUGGGGAAUAUUGCACAAUGGGCGCAAGCCUGAUGCAGCCAUGCCGCGUGUAUGAAGAAGGCCUUCGGGUUGUAAAGUACUUUCAGCGGGGAGGAAGGCGAUGUGGUUAAUAACCGCGUCGAUUGACGUUACCCGCAGAAGAAGCACCGGCUAACUCCGUGCCAGCAGCCGCCGUAA